rnacentral:lncRNA from 1 species
GUCUUCUUAAUAACAAAAUACAUGCAUAACAACGAUGAAUACUCGGUCUCUAGGAGUCUCCGUGAUGAACAUAUAUAUACAGACGGUAACUAUUCGUAGUGUUUGUUCUUUUUUCUUAGGUAAUCUUUAUUAUUCUCACCAAAACAACAAAACACACAAAGCAAAAGCAAAACUCAUGGGUAGCUCGCGGAAGCCGAGAUUUCUUCAUGAGUUAAAAAUGAAUGAAAUUUCAUCAAUCAUCAUGCUAUUGUAUUUAUCAUUCAUGCACCUAAACCGAUCCUCAAUGUUGUCUCAAACUUCACAA